rnacentral:rRNA from 1 species
GUCUUAUUGAGUAUAAUUUUAAGUCUAAUCUGCCCAGUGAUUUAUUAAAUGGCUGCAGUAUUUUAACUGUACAAAGGUAGCAUAAUAAUUAGUUUCUUAAUUAGAAACUGGAAUGAAAGAUUGAACGAGACAAUAACUGUCUUAAUUUUAAUUUAAGAAUUUUAUUUUUAAGUUAAAAAGCUUAAAUUUUUUUAAAAGACGAGAAGACCCUAUAGAAUUUUAUAUUAUUAUUAUAUUUAAAUUUUAGUAUAUAAAUUUUAAAUUUUUUUAAAGAUAUUUAGUUGGGGUGAUUGGAAAAUUUAUUUAACUUUUUUUAUUGGAAGUCAUUUAUUUAUGUUUUUUUGAUCCAAAAUUUUUGAUUAUAAGAUUAAAUUACCUUAGGGAUAACAGCGUAAUUUUUUUAGAGAGUUCUUAUCGAUAAAAGAGAUUGCGACCUCGAUGUUGGAUUAAAGUUAAUUUUUAAUGUAGAAGUUAAGAUAUUAGGUCUGUUCGACCUUUAAAACUUUACAUGAUCUGAGUUUAAAUCGGCGUGAGCCAGGUUGGAUUCUAUCUUUAAUAAGUUUUAAUAUUCUUAC